rnacentral:rRNA from 1 species
CGCACAGCGAAAGGUGCUUGCACCUUUCAAGUGAGUGGCGAACGGGUGAGUAACACGUGGACAACCUGCCUCAAGGCUGGGGAUAACAUUUGGAAACAGAUGCUAAUACCGAAUGAAACUUAGUGUCGCAUGACACGAAGUUAAAAGGCGCUUUGGCGUCACCUAGAGAUGGAUCCGCGGUGCAUUAGUUAGUUGGUGGGGUAAAGGCCUACCAAGACAAUGAUGCAUAGCCGAGUUGAGAGACUGAUCGGCCACAUUGGGACUGAGACACGGCCCAAACUCCUACGGGAGGCUGCAGUAGGGAAUCUUCCACAAUGGGCGAAAGCCUGAUGGAGCAACGCCGCGUGUGUGAUGAAGGCUUUCGGGUCGUAAAGCACUGUUGUAUGGGAAGAACAGCUAGAAUAGGGAAUGAUUUUAGUUUGACGGUACCAUACCAGAAAGGGACGGCUAAAUACGUGCCAGCAGCCGCGGUAAUACGUAUGUCCCGAGCGUUAUCCGGAUUUAUUGGGCGUAAAGCGAGCGCAGACGGUUGAUUAAGUCUGAUGUGAAAGCCCGGAGCUCAACUCCGGAAUGGCAUUGGAAACUGGUUAACUUGAGUGCAGUAGAGGUAAGUGGAACUCCAUGUGUAGCGGUGGAAUGCGUAGAUAUAUGGAAGAACACCAGUGGCGAAGGCGGCUUACUGGACUGUAACUGACGUUGA